rnacentral:rRNA from 1 species
AACCGUGCAAAGGUAGCGUAAUCACUUGUCUAUUAAUUGUAGACCUGUAUGAAAGGCAAAAUGAGGGUCUAACUGUCUCUUAUAAUAAAUCAAUUAAACUGAUCUCCCAGUAAAAAAGCUGGGAUCCCAACAUAAGACCAGAAGACCCUGUGAAGCUUAAACUAAACUAUUAAAUCACAUAAUAGCUACUUUCGGUUGGGGCGACCUUGGAAAAAAAAAGAACUUCCAACAACAUGACCAUACCUCACACCCAUAAGGCCUACAAGCCACUAAACGACCCAGAAUAUCUGACAACUGAACCAAGCUACUCCAGGGAUAACAGCGCUAUCUUCUUCAAGAGCCCAUAUCAAAAAGAAGGUUUACGACCUCGAUGUUGGAUCAGGACAUCCUAAUGGUGCAGCCGCUAUUAAGGGUUCGUUUGUUCAACGAUUAAUAGUCCUACGUGAUCU